rnacentral:rRNA from 1 species
CUUAGUGGCGAACGGGUGAGUAACGCGUGAGUAACCUGCCCUGGAGUGGGGGACAACAGUUGGAAACGACUGCUAAUACCGCAUAAGCCCACGGCCCGGCAUCGGGCUGAGGGAAAAGGAUUUAUUCGCUUCAGGAUGGACUCGCGUCCAAUUAGCUAGUUGGUGAGGUAACGGCCCACCAAGGCGACGAUUGGUAGCCGGACUGAGAGGUUGAACGGCCACAUUGGGACUGAGACACGGCCCAG